UUGUCUCAAAGAUUAAGCCAUGCAUGUCUCAGUACAAGCCAAAUUAAGGUGAAACCGCGAAAGGCUCAUUAAAUCAGUUAUGGUUCCUUAGAUCGUACCCACAUUACUUGGAUAACUGUGGUAAUUCUAGAGCUAAUACAUGCAAACAGAGCUCCGACCGGAGACGGAAGGAGCGCUUUUAUUAGAUCAAAACCAAUCGGUGGCGGUUUCCGUCAUCGUCCAACUUGGUGACUCUGAAUAACUUUACGCUGAUCGCACGGUCUUGCACCGGCGACGCAUCUUUCAAAUGUCUGCCUUAUCAACUGUCGAUGGUAGGUUCUGCGCCUACCAUGGUUGUAACGGGUAACGGGGAAUCAGGGUUCGAUUCCGGAGAGGGAGCCUGAGAAACGGCUACCACAUCCAAGGAAGGCAGCAGGCGCGCAAAUUACCCACUCCCGGCACGGGGAGGUAGUGACGAAAAAUAACGAUACGGGACUCAUCCGAGGCCCCGUAAUCGGAAUGAGUACACUCUAAACCCUUUAACGAGGAUCAAUUGGAGGGCAAGUCUGGUGCCAGCAGCCGCGGUAAUUCCAGCUCCAAUAGCGUAUAUUAAAGUUGUUGCGGUUAAAAAGCUCGUAGUCGAAUCUGUGUCCCGCGCCGCCGGUUCAUCGUUCGCGGUGUUAACUGGCGUGCCGCGGGACGUCCUGCCGGUGGGCUUAGCUCGCGAGGGCGGCCCAACUCAAUCCCGCCGCGGUGCUCUUCAUUGAGUGUCGAGGUGGGCCGGCACGUUUACUUUGAACAAAUUAGAGUGCUUAAAGCAGGCUAAAACUUUGCCUGAAUACUGUGUGCAUGGAAUAAUGGAAUAGGACCUCGGUUCUAUUUUGUUGGUUUUCGGAACCCCGAGGUAAUGAUUAAUAGGAACGGAUGGGGGCAUUCGUAUUGCGACGUUAGAGGUGAAAUUCUUGGAUCGUCGCAAGACGGACAGAAGCGAAAGCAUUUGCCAAAAACGCUUUCAUUGAUCAAGAACGAAAGUUAGAGGUUCGAAGGCGAUCAGAUACCGCCCUAGUUCUAACCAUAAACGAUGCCAGCUAGCGAUCCGCCGACGUUCCUCCGAUGACUCGGCGGGCAGCUUCCGGGAAACCAAAGCUUUUGGGUUCCGGGGGAAGUAUGGUUGCAAAGCUGAAACUUAAAGGAAUUGACGGAAGGGCACCACCAGGAGUGGAGCCUGCGGCUUAAUU
rnacentral:rRNA from 2 species